AUCGCUAGUAAUCGUGGAUCAGAAUGCCACGGUGAAUACGUUCCCGGGCCUUGUACACACCGCCCGUCACACCAUGGGAGUGGGUUGCAAAAGAAGUAGGUAGCUUAACCUUCGGGAGGGCGCUUACCACUUUGUGAUUCAUGACUGGGGUGAAGUCGUAACAAGGUAACCGUAGGGGAACCUGCGGUUGGAUCACCUCCUUACCUGAAAGAA
rnacentral:rRNA from 1 species